rnacentral:tRNA from 1 species
GGUUUGUGGCUCAGCGGUAGAGUGCUUGCCUAGCAUGCAUGAGGCACUGGGUUCCAUCCUCAGAACCA